UACGGAGGGUGCAAGCGUUAUCUGGAUUCACUGGGUUUAAAGGGUGUGUAGGCGGGUAUUUAAGUCAGUGGUGAAAUCUCCGGGCUCAACCCGGAAACUGCCAUUGAUACUAUUUAUCUUGAAUAUUGUUGAGGUAGGCGGAAUAUAUCAUGUAGCGGUGAAAUGCUUAGAUAUGAUAUAGAACACCGAUUGCGAAGGCAGCUUACUAAACAAUUAUUGACGCUGAGGCACGAAAGCGUGGGGAUCAAACAGG
rnacentral:rRNA from 1 species